CGGUAUGAUUAGAUAAAAACCAAAAUUUCCGCCAGUUCCGGCAGUUACCACGAUCUCCUCGAAGAACGACUGCCAGGGCGCACGAUUGGAAACUGAAGACGGACGUGGGAGAUGAUCGGAGGAGAGAUGGCUUCAUCACUAUUCACCCCACUCUCAAUCUACGGUUCAUAUAAAAGGAGAAAAGGGAAAGAGGAGCAGAGCAAAUUCAAACCCAGAAAGAGGAAAAAAUUGGUAUCAAAAUCGGUGAUUUGGGUAUCCUAUUUCUGUUAUGUUUGGUUUUCUAUGUUACUCAUUGGAAUUAGAUUACCGCUGUUAGGUAUUGUGUGCAGAGUGGAUUCUCAAUCAAACCCAAAAGGCAGAGUAAAAUAGGUGUAACUCGGGCGAAAGAGUGGCAGAUUCAGUGGAGUGGGUGGUUACCAGAAGUUGCUCAUGACCUCUUCGUGCAAAUUAUGCUUCCAAAAAAUUAAUCCAUGAGGCAGGGGCUCUCGACACAAUUCCUGUAAAUGUAUGGGAGAAUUCUAGACAUUGUGAAAGUUGGUUUCCUCUAAUAUUAGUUGCAGGUAGAGAAGGUACUGUUUGAUUGAGAAUCUGCAGUAAAUUGGUUUUGCUGAAUAAGGAACUAACAUACAAAGAGAACUCAUAGGGGUAGAACUGAAAGCAGAUCGAUAAGGACCUGUUGAUCCAUAUUCAAGGUGCAGGAAAGCAAGGGUAGGUGCACGAAACAAACCAUAGAGUUGAGGGAAACCAAUCACAGAGGUCAACAACAUCAAUAACAUUAGUUUGGUCGCAAAGAAACAAUCACAGAGGUUCAAGCUCAUCAGUUCUUUACGUGAAUCCGACCAGAAAAAAAUUUAUUUCUUUCUCUCUACACAGGGUUUCUUGGUGGCUCACAGGUUCCGUGGGAGAAUUACACAUAAAUAUUGCUUAGAAGAUGCAUAACUGCGCAGUCAUUUAAGGAGGCAUAGAUGCAGCGCAGGUUAAUUAUCUUCGAUCUUCAAAUAGAGUUCAAGAUGAUGUGAUGUUAUGUGCUGUGAAAGUUUAGAGGAAUCUACUAGAUUCAAUGACAGAUAUGGAUAGUGUCAUGUUGUGAAGAAUGACUUAUGUUUCAUUCAUUGCAAGAAAGCAUGAAUUUGAAAAAUGUACAAAAAAUUGCAAUCGAUGAUUGCACACUAUAUAUGCAGUGGCAACAACAAGGAGCUUUCAAAAA